rnacentral:ncRNA from 1 species
GGGUGUCCGGCUUGGCCGGUUAAUAGGGAAACAGGUGAGAAUCCUGUGCGGUGCCCGCCGCUGUCAGAAGGGAGUUUUCGGCCAUUGAUGCCACUGGGAGACCGGGAAGGCGGCCGGAAACCGUGAUCUUCAAGCCAGAAGACCUGCAC